rnacentral:rRNA from 1 species
CAGCAGCCGCGGUAAUACGUAGGGUGCGAGCGUUAAUCGGAAUUACUGGGCGUAAAGCGUGCGCAGGCGGUUUUGUAAGACAGAGGUGAAAUCCCCGGGCUCAACCUGGGAACUGCCUUUGUGACUGCAAGGCUAGAGUACGGCAGAGGGGGAUGGAAUUCCGCGUGUAGCAGUGAAAUGCGUAGAUAUGCGGAGGAACACCGAUGGCGAAGGCAAUCCCCUGGGCCUGUACUGACGCUCAUGCACGAAAGCGUGGGGAGCAAACAGGAUUAGAUACCCCCGUAGUCCCUGUCUCUUAUAA